rnacentral:lncRNA from 1 species
CUUUUGAACAAUGCUUGUUGUCAGGUGCUUUAAUUUGUAGCCGUAGAAGGAACUGGGAACUUCUGAUCAAUCGCUAUAGCGGUGAUGGUUAUUUUGCCAUGUUAGUACAAACUGCCAUUUUUUUCUGUUUGACUGAACCGCUAUAAAAUAUGAUCAGUGUCUGCUGUGGACAACUCAGCUGCAUAACCAAAGUUCAAGAUAUGGUCAAGUAUUAGGUAUUGUGUUGUUUUUUUCGCGCACGGAUUCAUCGCGUGCGCAAGAUUGUUCAAAUGGGCGUGUCGAACCAAGUAAUCGUUCCAAAAUUAGACCAUCAUGGGCAUGCUUCAUAUGAUGGUCAAGGACCGUCACCGGGAAUGUCCUCGAU